UGCAUUUGUUGGUAAGACGAUGUUAACAAAAGUUGUUCGUCUUGAUAAGGGCUACAACUUUGCUUAAUAUCCUUUUAACAAAUUAUGCGUAUUUAAGAAGAUAGGUCCGCGCAUGCGCAGAACGUAACUCCUUACGCUUGCAUUUUUUGGUAAGACGAUGUUAACAAAAGUUGUUCCUCUUGAUGGGGGCUACAACUUUGCUUAAUAUCCUUUUAACAAAUUAUGCG
rnacentral:miRNA from 1 species